GGAAAAACAAGACAGAUAAAAAACAAGAUGAUAAACAGAGGAUCCAUCUAAAACAGUAUAAAACAAGAUGAUAAACAGAGGAUCCAUCUAAAACAGUAUAAAACAAGAUGAUAAACAGAGGAUCCAUCUAAAACAGUAUAAAACAAAUGAUAAACAGAGGAUCCAUCUAAAACAGUAUAAAACAAGAUGAUAAACAGAGGAUCCAUCUAAAACAGUAUAAAACAAGAUGAUGUUGUGUCUUUGGCGUCACAAUGUCAGCUUCGCUAUUGUUAUCAAUGAUAUCUGCCUGCGUUUACAUUGCAGGUCUAUGUUGUGUCUUUGGCUAUGCUGGAUUAAGUGAUAUGACAUGCUAUUCUAAAUAAGUUCCCCGUAAUUAAUAUCACCUGAUUGAGCUAAUCAUGUAAAUGUAAUUAACUAGAGAGUCGGUCACCACAAAAUAAUAUUUAUAGAGCUGUUAUCUUCCGAAUAAACUCUUAAAGACCUAGUAAUAUUUUACAUCAAUAGCAGGCAGCAUUAAUCGUCAACUUAAUUCAGUCUCAUCUGAAAGUUGUACAUUCUUGGUUAUCUGCACAAACCCUGGCUAACAAGUUGAACCAGCGAUGCAAAAUUGGGUUUAAUUAUUUAUUUACUGUUAAAGGAAUUCAAUUGCUCUAUGUUUUAAUAUCCAAUUAAAAUUAAACACUCUGUCAAUUCAUAAGGAUUUGUAAUUCCCUUAUUCUAUAAUGAUAGACAGAGCCCAGUCUUCAAGUCAGACAGCAGAGUUUAUUCAAGAGAGUACUGCCACAAUACAGGUUACCACAGGUUAUAAACUGAAAAUGACAUCAUUAGUUCCAACACCAACCCGUGCCAUCUCCGUUCCACUACAAAGGCUGUAUCUCAAGUCUUCCCACCUCCGUCUCCCUACCAAUUUAAUAUAAUUUACGAGUCAAGGUUUUCUUGUGUAGAUAAGCAUUCUAGCCAGUCUGAUUCAUUUGUACCAAGGAACAGACAGUCAUUGUACUAAACUCUUGACCACAUUCCCACACAUUAUAUUCAGUACUGGGAUCAAGA
ensembl:lncRNA